AUUAUUGUGACGUCUUCCAAUAGAGUCGCACGUGUUCUAUAACUUUACUGCUCUUGUCGUCCCUCGUACAAAAUCUAUAAUUGAACUUUAAUUAUUAUAAUUUUUUAAAUAGUAACUCAAAAGUUUAUUUAAUUUUAAUCUUUAAUAAUUCUUUGCGCGUUUUGUUUUAGUAUUAUAUAUUUAGAGCUUGUCAGAGUUUCCGAUUUCGAGGAGGAACAAUAUAGGAGGAAAAUAAUUUCUUCUUCCGAACCAGUAGCCAUUUCAAUGCGCCAAAAAGAUAUAAGCUUUCGAAGAUUCGAAGCUAUUGUAUUUACUUCUUUUACCCUUCAAGCUUAAAACAACAAAAUCAGGUGGCUUUAUACAUUGAAGGCUUGAUUCGAAGUCAGUACUAGAAGGACUCGAAGCAGAGAACGACUUGCUGCUGGGCAACUGACGCCUCCGUGUAAUUCGGCAGACCGUCUGCAGACGCUACUGAUUACUAAG